GCCCCUUCUCUCCCUCAGAGGAUGCCGAUCUCUUCUCUGAGCUCUUCCACUGAUUGAAUAAGGUCCAAGCAUGUUAUGGAGGGUCAUUGCUUUACUCAGAAGCUGCUGAUCUGAAUGUUAACCGCCUUUGAAACUCACUUUGGUGAACACAUUUUGACUGACUUUUUGGGCACAUAGAUGUUGAGUGUUUUGCCCCAGCAGCAAGAGAAAAGUAACGAAGACAAUCCUGCUUCGCGGACUAAGACCAACUCUACACAAAACAGUCAGACACCACUGCACUCAGGCAAGGGCUACAAGUUGAGUGAUUCUGAUGAAUUCUAUCUUCCCCUCCCCCUGCCCCCUCCCUGGUUAAGGUACACAUGGGACUCCUAGUUUUACCCCUAGAAAUCAUGCUGAUCUGUCACAAGUUCUUCCUUUGUGUGGAGCCUCACUGGCAAACUGCUGCAUGAAGAAGAGGUACCUCCUAAUUUUAUCGCAUACAAACUUAAGGGGUGGAAAUACUCCUCACGUCUUACAGGUGUCAGGUGUUUUGCCCCAGCAACAAGAGAAAAGUAACCGAGACAAUUCAGCUGCACAGAAGAACAAGAAGAGACACUCUUUCUCCAUCAGAUGAAACCAUAACUAGAAGGCUGCUGUCUGUGAGGCCAAGGAGAGAGCUCUCAGCAGAAACUGAAUCCACUGGCACCUUGAUCUUGGUUUUCCCAGCCCUAGAAAUAAAUGUCUGUUGUG